UCUUGACCUCAAAUCAGGUAGGACUACCCGCUGAACUUAA
rnacentral:rRNA from 1 species